rnacentral:rRNA from 2 species
GGUUGCAAUUGUAUCAACACUAAUGCACCAGAUCUCAUUAGAACUUCGCAGUUAAGCGUGUUUGGGCGAGAGCAGUACUAGGAUGGGUGACUCUCCGAGAAGUCCUCGUGUUGUAACCC